rnacentral:rRNA from 1 species
UACAGAGGGUGCAAGCGUUAAUCGGAAUUACUGGGCGUAAAGCGUGCGCAGACGGUUGCGUAAGUCAGAUGUGAAAGCCCCGGGCUCAACCUGGGAAUUGCAUUUGAGACUGCGUAGCUAGGGUGCGGAAGAGGGAAGCGGAAUUUCCGGUGUAACGGUGAAAUGCGUAGAUAUCGGAAGGAACACCAGUGGCGAAAGCGGCUUCCUGGUCCAGCACCGACGUUCAGGCACGAAAGCGUGGGGAGCAAACAGG